rnacentral:lncRNA from 10 species
AAGAAAUUAAUCACUGGAUAAGAAAAUCUUAGCUCUUAUCAUAAUGCUUUCCUCUGUGUUAGAGCAAAGAGAAAUAAAUGCUUUCUUCUCUGUUUGCUUGAGUGAACCUAGCAUGGAUUAUCAGGUAUAAAAUAUCUGGGAGAUGACCUGUACUGGGUAUUCUCUCAGGCUGACUAAAGUGUCCACAUGGCUGUAGAGGUGGCUGAAAAAUGCCUCACAACUGCUAGCAUUUAUUGAGCAAUUCAGCUGCGCUGGGUUGUUGUUCUAAUUGUUUUGGAUAUAAACCAUUUUAUCUUCUCAAGAAUUCCAAGAGGUAGGUGCUAUUAUUGUUAUUAUUAUUGUUAUUAUUGAGAGGGAGUCUUGCUCUGUUGCCCAGGCUAGAGUGCAGUGGCACAAUCUUGGCUCACUGCAACCUCCGCCUCCUGGGUUCAAGUGAUUCUCCCACCUCAGCCUCCCCAGUAGCUGGGACUACAGAUGUGCACUACCACGCAUGGCUAUUUAUUUUUAUUUUAUUUUUUUGGUAUUUUUAGUAGGGAUGGGGUUUUGCCAUGUUGGCCAGGCUGGUCUCGAACUCCUAACCUCAGCGGAUUCACCCACCUCCGCCUCCUAAAGUGCUGGGAUUACAGGCAUGAGCCACCGCGCCCGGCCAGGAGCACUGGACUGCAGACCAAGAGCUCUGGCUCCGGAAACUGGAGGCAUCCCUCUCCAUCCAAGACUGGCCUGCCAAGCUGCCUGCUUAGAAGGACUUUGGAAGCAAGACAGAGCAGUGUCU